ensembl:misc_RNA Metazoa_SRP Metazoan signal recognition particle RNA
GCCAGGUAUGGUAGUGCAUGCCUGUAGUCCCAGUUAUUUGGGAGGCUGAGGUGGGAGGAUUGCUUGAGCCCAGGAGUUUGAGGCUAUGGUGAGCUACGAUUGUGCCACUGCACUCCAGCAUGGGUAACAGAGCAAGACCCUAUCUCUU